rnacentral:rRNA from 1 species
GACGAACGCUGGCGGCGUGCCUAAUACAUGCAAGUAGAACGCUGAAGGAGGAGCUUGCUUCUCUGGAUGAGUUGCGAACGGGUGAGUAACGCGUAGGUAACCUGCCUGGUAGCGGGGGAUAACUAUUGGAAACGAUAGCUAAUACCGCAUAAGAGUGGAUGUUGCAUGACAUUUGCUUAAAAGGUGCACUUGCAUCACUACCAGAUGGACCUGCGUUGUAUUAGCUAGUUGGUGGGGUAACGGCUCACCAAGGCGACGAUACAUAGCCGACCUGAGAGGGUGAUCGGCCACACUGGGACUGAGACACGGCCCAGACUCCUACGGGAGGCAGCAGUAGGGAAUCUUCGGCAAUGGAUGGAAGUCUGACCGAGCAACGCCGCGUGAGUGAAGAAGGUUUUCGGAUCGUAAAGCUCUGUUGUAAGAGAAGAACGAGUGUGAGAGUGGAAAGUUCACACUGUGACGUAUCUACCAGAAAGGAC